GUGAAGCAGCAAAUCUUUGAACGCAAAUUGCACUCUCUUGUAUUCCGGAUUGUAUGCCUGUUUUAGGGUCAUGUUUAAUAAAAAUCUGUUUGGUUGCUGCCUUUCGUGUUGACGCACCGGAUUUGGCUCUUCUUGCCGUCGAUUAAGUGACCUAAAAUUUUGCAUGAUUUUUUUCGAACGUAUUUAAAUGAGUUUACGUACGAUUGCUAUAUAGAAUACUAGGUGUGGUCAUCCUCAUGAUUCGCGCCUAUAAUUUUUCAUCAAAAUGAG
rnacentral:misc_RNA from 1 species